UACCUCUUCAAAGUCACGGUAUUACUGCAUAGAAUUUUUCUUUUCAUGGGAUCCAUGGAUACGAGAAGGCACAAGAUAGAAUUUUUAGGUUUUUUUUUGUGGUAGAAGGGAGAAUGCGAGGACGCGCGUGAGAAAGAAGGGUGGAUACAGGAAAAGGCACGUUAGAGAGAAAGGAGGGAAUGUUUUUUUUUUCUGUAGGAGAAGGGGAACAUGAGGAGGGACG
rnacentral:lncRNA from 1 species